CAAUAGCGUAUAUUUAAGUUGCUGCAGUUAAAAAGCUCGUAGUUGGAUUUCGGGUGGGAAUGGCCGGUCCGCCGUUUCGGUGUGCACUUGCUACGCCCACCUUGCUGCCGGGGACGUGCUCUUGAGUUCACGCUCGGGACACGGAGUCGGCGAGGUUACUUUGAGUAAAUUAGAGUGUUCAAAGCAGGCCUACGCUCUGAAUACAUUAGCAUGGAAUAACACGAUAGGACUCUGGCCUAUCUUGUUGGUCUGUAGGACCGGAGUAAUGAUUAAGAGGGACAGUCGGGGCAUUCGUAUUUCAUUGUCAGAGGCGAAAUUCUUGGAUUUAUGAAAGACGAACUACUGCGAAAGCAUUUGCCAAGGAUGUUUUCAUUAA
rnacentral:rRNA from 1 species